rnacentral:ncRNA from 2 species
GGAAGUGACACGGGGUGCCCGGCAACGGGCUGAGAUCAUACCCGUCGAACCUGAUCUGGGUUAUGCCAGCGAAGGGAGCCGUCACGCGAUGCCCG